GACGAACGCUGGCGGCGUGCUUAACACAUGCAAGUCGAACGGAAAGGCGCUGCGUUUGUGGGGCGCUCGAGUGGCGAACGGGGGAGUAACACGUGAGUAACCUGCCCUUGACUUUGGGAUAACUUCAGGAAACUGGGGAUAAUAUCGGAUAGGAGCUCCUGCUGCAUGGGGGGGGUUGGAAAGUUUCGGCGGUUGGGGAUGGACUCGCGGCUUAUCAGCUUGUUGGUGGGGUAGUGGCUUACCAAGGCUUUGAAGGGUAGCCGGCCUGAGAGGGUGACCGGCCACAUUGGGACUGGGGUGCGGCCCAGACUCCUACGGGCGGCAGCAGUGGGGAAUAUUGCGCAAUGGGCGGAAGCCUGAUGCAGCGACGCCGCGUGCGGGAUGACGGCCUUCGGGUUGUAAACCGCUUUCGCCUGUGACGGAGCGUGAGUGACGGUACUGGGUAAAGAAGCACCGGCUAACUACGU
rnacentral:rRNA from 1 species